rnacentral:rRNA from 1 species
AGCCACACUGGGACUGAGACACGGCCCAGACUCCUACGGGAGGCAGCAGUGGGGAAUUUUGGACGAUGGGGGCAACCCUGAUCCAGCCAUGCCGCGUGAGUGAAGAAGGCCUUCGGGUUGUAAAGCUCUUUCAGCCGGAACGAAAAGGUUACGGUUAAUACCCGUGACUAAUGACGGUACCGGAAGAAGAAGCACCGGCUAACUACGUGCCAGCAGCCGCGGUAAUACGUAGGGUGCGAGCGUUAAUCGGAAUUACUGGGCGUAAAGCGUGCGCAGGCGGUUUUGUAAGUCAGAUGUGAAAUCCCCGGGCUUAACCUGGGAACUGCGUUUGAAACUACAAGGCU